CUGUAUAAAAUACAUAUGCCACAUUGCGUGAAAUUAUAUAUACAUAUACGUUCACACACACGCGUGUAUAUACUAUAUUAACGCAUAUGACGGUUCCGUGGUAUGUAUGUUACACGCUUGUCGUAUAAUUAAAAUACUAUAUUGCGGUCCGUUUAAAUAUUGUCUAAACGACACACGUUGAUUAUAAUUUAUAUAUCAUACGACAAUGUUAGAGAUUAUUAUAAUAUUUGUCGAACGAUCGACGGUUUACCGCGUUAACGCGCUUUACCGCAUAGGGGGGGACUCUUUCCACUCUUCGAUUUUGAGGUGUUAUAUGAUAAAAAUAUAUCUCGCGCAAUAUACAAGAGGGGGGAGGGGGCGUGCAUGUUUAUUUAAUUUUUUUUUUUUAAUAAUUUAAAAAAUUAAAACGUGUUCAACACCGUUCACAUGUCGCGAGACACUUGAAUAUUAAUCACAAUCUCUAUUAAAACAAUUGACGUAUACACAAAGAUAUAUAAGCCUUGAAUCGUCGACAGUAGGCGGACUCGACGUCCGAAGAGCGCAUCGACGCCGUCGUCGUUGUCGAUCGUUAUUAUUGUAAAAAAUGUAACGUGUCGUAGCGGUUGGCGUCGUCGUAACGCUGACGGAUAUCGCGUCUGCCUCAUUUUUUUAUCGUUGGCCUCAGAUCAGGGAGGAUCACCCGCCGAAUUUAAGCAUAUUAGUAAGCGGAGGAAAAGAAACUAACUAGGAUUUCCUUAGUAGCGGCGAGCGAACAGGAAAGAAGCCCAGCACUGAAUCCCGCCGUUGUUCAGGCGGCGGGAGAUGUGGUGUUCGGGAGGUUCCGCUUUCUCGUCGCGAUCGCUCCUGUCCAAGUUCGUCUUGAACGGGGCCGUUUUCCCGUAGAGGGUGCCAGGCCCGUAGCGACGGAGGAUCGCGGCGAGAGGGACUCUCCUUAGAGUCGGGUUGCUUGAGAGUGCAGCCCUAAGUGGGUGGUAA
rnacentral:sRNA from 1 species